rnacentral:rRNA from 1 species
AUGAGCGCGGUGCUCACGAAGAUUUCAUUCACUACCAGCGGUUUGAAUGAGGCAUUUACAAGCCUGCUCAAAGGCUUCAAGGUGUACAAUGAUCCGGCAGCCAACCAGUCUGUUGAAGUUGCUGAACUGAGAAGGCAGAUCGGAUCGAUUGAUGCCGAUAUCAUGCUGGUGAAUAAACGACUUGAAGAAUCCCAGGAUGGUGCUGCUGCCAUGGAGGCCCUAAGGGCCGAGCUCACUCAAGCCAAGGAACAAGCUCGGGCUAGCAAUGCGGCUGCCCUAAAGGCGGCCGAAGAGUUUAGAGCCGAACAGGCUGCUCAUCGCCGAAGCGGGGAAAAGAUAGCGGAAAUGGCUGAAGAGUUGAAAAAUGACGCCGACCGGUAUGUGCUCCUUGAAAAGGAGAGUAAGGCUAGUUCGACCGAGCUGGACAAGGCGCUUAAUGCCGCCAAGGAGUUGCGGACCGAGAUCCGGGGAAUGCGGGAGGAGCUCCAACAGGCCAAAAAAAAUCAUGGCUGGGGGCUCCUAACUACUGCGGAAGAAGUUUUUGGAUCCAAAUUAUGCUCCCUUAGCUGGGCGUUACGCAUAUGCGGACUUGACGGAAAGUACAGCUGA